rnacentral:rRNA from 1 species
AGAGUUUGAUCCUGGCUCAGGAUGAACGCUGGCGGCGUGCCUAAUACAUGCAAGUCGAACGCACUGAUUUUAUCAGUGAGUGGCGAACGGGUGAGUAAUACAUAAGUAACCUGCCCUCAUGAGGGGGAUAACUAUUAGAAAUGAUAGCUAAGACCGCAUAGGUGAAGGGGUCGCAUGACCGCUUCAUUAAAUAUCCGUAUGGAUAGCAGGAGGAUGGACUUAUGGCGCAUUAGCUGGUUGGUGAGGUAACGGCUCACCAAGGCGACGAUGCGUAGCCGACCUGAGAGGGUGGACGGCCACACUGGGACUGAGACACGGCCCAGACUCCUACGGGAGGCAGCAGUAGGGAAUUUUCGGCAAUGGGGGAAACCCUGACCGAGCAACGCCGCGUGAAGGAAGAAGUAAUUCGUUAUGUAAACUUCUGUCAUAGAGGAAGAACGGUGGAUAUAGGGAAUGAUAUCCAAGUGACGGUACUCUAUAAGAAAGCCACGGCUAACUACGUGCCAGCAGCCGCGGUAAUACGUAGGUGGCGAGCGUUAUCCGGAAUUAUUGGGCGUAAAGAGGGAGCAGGCGGCACUAAGGGUCUGUGGUGAAAGAUCGAAGCUUAACUUCGGUAAGCCAUGGAAACCGUAGAGCUAGAGUGUGUGAGAGGAUCGUGGAAUUCCAUGUGUAGCGGUGAAAUGCGUAGAUAUAUGGAGGAACACCAGUGGCGAAGGCGACGAUCUGGCGCAUAACUGACGCUCAGUCCCGAAAGCGUGGGGAGCAAAUAGGAUUAGAUACCCUAGUAGUCCACGCCGUAAACG